UCCCCAGCGAUGGCGGCGACUGCGGUGGCGAGCGCGUUGCAGACGAACCUCCUCCGAUCUGCGGCACGACGGUCAUCACCGGCGAUGGAGGGUUCCUCCUCUUAGGAGCAGAGGAAGCAGAGGACGUCGGCGAGUCCCGUCCGACGACGAUGGUGCCGCGCGCUGCGCGCGGGGCCGACCGCGACACAUGCGGCAGUGGCUGCGCAGGGCCCCCUUGCGGAGAGCGGGCCUGGCGAGCGCGACGGCUCGGCGGGCGAGCGCGUCGGGGGAGGAGCAGAGGAGGCGGCGGACGGCGGCAUGGCCUCUCCCUCCUUUGGCUCUUCUCUGUCUCCCUUGUCUCACCUCCUCUCUCUCUCUCUAAGCAGGCGACAGAGACAAGCAGAGGCGGCGCACUUGAGUAGUUCAGCCAUUCUUCCUAGCGGCGGCUACCAAACCCUACCGCAAGAAGCAGCAGCGAGUGGGCAGUCGGCUGUGGGAAACGAGGAACCCUACCCGAUCAAAGCAAGAAUCACCAAAAGGCCACAGAUCUAUAUAUCAGCAGCGAUAGCGAUGCUUUGAUCUGUUCCCUCCAUCUACAACAUUGGAUGGGGCACAACACCCAUGCCCAUGCCAGGCAGAUGGCCGGCAAAGAGGAGCAGCUGCUAGGCACCGCCGUGGCUGUCAUGUUGUGAACUUGUGAUGCAUAGUCCCCCUGGAGAUUAACAACUAUGAUGAGUAGAUUUUGUCCUCCGUCAUUCCACUCUUGCUGGGGCUAGCAACCGCGGAGCGUUUGACCAGUAACAAGGAAAAAUAUGGUGAAUAUGCUGGUGCUACUGCUACAGUUUCUCGCCCUCUGCCUCUUAUCCAAGUUCCUUCUUUUAUUAUUAAAAUUCAGAGUUAGUCACAACUCAUGGGUGCAUGUUUUUUUUUCAUGUUUUGAAGCAUAUAAGAUAAGGAUCAUCCAUCUGAAUAAUUUUGACGCUGCCGUACAUUUCGGCUCUGCUAGAACAUUAUUGUGCAAUUAUUUUUUAUUAUAUAGCCUCUUUAUGGAUAUGUCAUUUGACAGUUUCGUGCCCAUGUGGCCAGUUUUCUCUUUCUACUUAUUAGUUAACCAAGGUAUCUAGAAGUUGCACUGUUAGUAAUUUGGUUUUACUAGCCUGAUACUGCCAUCCAUAUAUCGAGUUUGGAAUUUUAUAUAGCAGAAUUAUUUCUCUUUACUUGAUUAUCAUAUAUACCUUCCCUUAGGGUAUUAAUUUGACAUUUUCCUAUAAUGUAACUGCUUAUUGUAUUCAUAUUAUCUCGUUAUUGCUCUACAUUUUGUGCAGCGCAACAAUAAGAAUUCAACAGUAUGGAUUAUGCAAAUAUUUUUUCACAGCAUCUGUCAUGGUGCAUCAUAAAGAAAUAUAUUGUGACAGCAAUCUGUCUACCUAAGGACACCAACUUGUAUUCAUCUCGAUCUUUUGGAUUGACCAUGCUAGCUUGCUACAUUCCACAAUUAUACCUUUGGGAAGUUACGGCAGCUAGUGUUCAUUACCAGGAUAUCAGCCAUGCCCUCCUUAAUUAGGAUUGUACACGGGUGAGAGGGAAGUAUAAAUAUGGAUUUUUACCAAACUGAAGCAAUAGGAUGCAUGGUACCGAUUCUUAAGUUAACUUCAGUUUGUUCGUUAUAUAUUUGUGAAAAGGAGUGAGAGGGCACACACUCCAGAUUCUAGAGAUCAGUUUGCUUGGUUCGUUCCGACUAUUAAUCCAUUCCUCGCUAAAGCUUGUCCAACUUGCAUUGUCGCGGACCCUCACAAGGCACUGCCAUGCAACAGUGUGUCCAAAUAAAUGAUUUGUUGGUCCAUGAAACUUGGAUCUAGGCUGAGGUUUAUGAUCUGGCUGAUGAUCACAUUGUAGCCCUGGAGGAAGCUUUAUGAAGAUUCAGACAUAAUAGUGUACAACCUCGGUCCUGGAAAGGGAGCAUUUCUUUGGCUUGAAUCCUUAUGGUGUAUGCUGGGAGAAGAGAGAUGCAGAGGUUGUAUAUGUUGCAACUACCAAAGCUGUGAAGGGGCUCAAAUGGAAGUGUGUUACCCCAUUAUCUCCCUACAACUUAGGGUAUAUACGAUUGUGGUUGGCCCAUAAAGUAAACACUAAUGGAACAUAACUCCCCCCUUCUCUUCAAGUUUAAAGUGUUAAAGCAUUUAUAUUAAAAUGAUGUAUUGGAUAUCUCCAUCUUAUUCCAAAAGUCCAUUGUUCUGGACUGUGGCCUUUACCAAAUGAUAGAAGUGAGGUUUCAAGUUUUAAAAAUUACACUAUGGUCUGGAUCACUAACAUUUUGGUAAUUGAUUCUGGCCAACACACUCAUUUAUCAUUUAAUGUUGAUCUCUUACACUCCCUUCAUUCAGAUUAAAUUGACGCAGUGGUGCAUACAAAAUAGCUUAUGUAUGUACAUACCUCAUGUCAAUUAAAUGCGAACAGAGGUAGUAGUUUGUAGUUCAACUUCUAGCACUACUGAUGCUGAACUUUUUAUAUUGUACCAUGUGUGCCAAACAUGUUAAAAAGAUGAAGCCCAGUGUUGUACUUGGACUAUCUGUUGUGGGUGGUUUCCUCUCAAAGGAGGUAUGAAAUCUUCUGUGGAUCAUUGGUUACCAUGCUCUCUUCUUUCAGCAUUUGCUUGUGAUGAUUGAGAAAUUCAAGGGACAUGCAGCUUGUGUUUUCUGUUAGAUUUUUUUAAAGGUUAGAUUUGUCUCUUUGUUAUAUAUAUGCUUCAAAUAUGAUUACUUUGAAUGAUACAUGCAGUAUUUUAUAUAAUAUUUGUGGCUGGAAUUUGAUAAAUUUCAACUGAUUCAUUUAUAUAUGGGGUAUCAGUUUGUGAAGUUCACGCUAUUGUAAGCUAUACUUUUCAUCUCAAGGGUUACGAGAGCUGAGAUGUAGCAUAGUGCCUUUUUUUCCAUGGGCUAUCUUGAUUUGGCUUAUUGUUUGUGCACAAAAAUGGAUUGCAGAUAAGGGCCGCUACAAGUGUGCGUAAAAGUGUGAUUAAAUCACUGAAAAGAGAAACAAGCAACGUUAGAUUAAAUGAAUUUCUCAACUUGGCAGCAUUUGAUUUUCAAUUUAUACACAUUUGAUCCAUCAUUAUCUUCACCGGUUAACAUAUUGUGUUCUCAGACCAUGUAAUUCCUUUAAAUAAGUUACACCAUAUUUGUUGACUACUUUAUUCUCUUGCCAUUCAAUAGAUCGUAGAUUCAAGAUUUAUAUCAUAUACCAUCUGCACAAUAAUACAUUAUGGAAUUUAUGUUUGUAUUCUUUUCUAUGCUUACUAUACACGUGUGAUUAAUUAGGUGUGUUCAUAUACUGUAUGUUCAUUUGAUUCCUCCAUGUAAAUUGUGGUGUGCCUAUUAAAUAUGCAUAGAAGAUCAGCUUUUAGCGACCAAUUGCCUAGGUGCGGGUAAUCUGUUGAUUCUGUGUAUCACGAUCUACUGAAACCUAACACACCAUUUGUUCUCUUUUUCAUGUGUUUAACAUCUGCUGCCCUUUAGGUUGGUAUUGCAUGCCCAACAGGUACCUAAGUUCAGUUAUCCGUGUCAGCGCUUUCUGCAACCAAUAGUAGGCCAUUAUAUUCGAGUAUUUAUUUGAAUAUCAAUUAGUACAUAUGCAUUGGUUACUUACAAGAGGUACUGUAUUCAGUUUCCAUAGGUCGAGUCUUCCAUCUCUACUGCUUUUAUGUAACUGGUAAAAUGAAACAAAUGGGGUCUGCUUGCUUAUCCCCAAUUGCAGCGGUGUUAACUCUUGGUGAUGCAAGCCCUAAUCUCUAAAGACCGAGACAAUGCCUAGCCUACGUAGAUGAUGCAUUUGGCAUUCAUUUAUUGCUUUUGUUGCUCUUGAAGGAAUCAAAGAAUGUAAUAUAUUCCCUAUUGUUUCU